rnacentral:rRNA from 1 species
GAAAGAGGUGGCUAGCGUUGUUCGGAAUUACUGGGCUUAAAGGGCGCGUAGGCGGUAAUGUAAGUCUGAGGUGGAAUGCUUUGGCUUAACCAAAGGACUGCCUUGGAAACUGCAUUACUUGAGUCAGAUAGGGGAAGGCGGAAUUCCCGGUGUAGCAGUGAAAUGCGUAGAUAUCAGGAGGAAGGCCUGUGGUGAAGACGGCCUUCUGGGUCUUGACUGACGCUGAGGCGCGAAAGCGUGGGGAGAAAACAGG